rnacentral:lncRNA from 1 species
GGACCUGCUACGGGGCUUUCCUGCAGAUAUGGGAAAAUUCCCUCGUCCAGACUUUCACAUCAGGCUUUCUGUUAGAUCAAUUGGAGAGGGAAGGGGGAGACCGGGUCCACCAUGUCACCUGCCCCUGGCGCCCAUCGCACACAGGGCCCCAGCGUGCUGUCCUCAUGAGGCCUCGCCAGCAUUACUCCCUGAUGGCACUCCUCUCGCAACCCCCACCCCCACCCCUGCACUGCACGCCCUGAC